AUGGCAGCACGUCCACAGUCAUAUGAUAGCAACUCAAGUGACACUGAGAAUUGGGAACGAAAAACAACCACCUCGCAAACUCUGCAAGCACUCGAGCGCUCAGUCGUGUGCAUCUCGACUGGAGGCAGACCUUGUGAAGAUGAGCCUGCAUGGUGCUAGCGGGGGCAAUGACCGCUCACGCGACCGCCGCCGCUCCAGCGACCGCUCCCGAGACUCGUCGCACGAGAGGGGAGAGGGCCAGCUCACCCCUUGCAUCAGAAAUGUCACCUCGCCUACCCGCCAGCACAACAGUGACCGUGAGAGGGACGGUGGCUCCAGGCCCAGCAGCCCCCGUCCUCAGAGGAUUUCCCCCAGCGGCUCCAGUAACAGCGGGCUGGUCAGCAGCCGUAACAGCAGCCUGUCCAGCACUGAGGGCUGCUUUAAGAGCCUGGGGGUGGGAGAGAUGGUGUUUGUCUAUGAGAAUAGCAAGGAGGGACUGGGCACGGGCCUGGGUACCCGCAGCAUCCGGACCUCAGGCUCCGAGAGGGUCACUCUUAUAGUAGAUAACACACGGUUCGUGGUGGACCCUUCAAUCUUCACAGCACAGCCAAACACCAUGCUGGGCAGAAUGUUUGGAUCUGGAAGGGAACACAAUUUCACACGGCCCAAUGAAAAAGGAGAGUAUGAAGUCGCCGAAGGCAUCAGCUCUACGGUGUUCCGAGCCAUCCUGGAUUACUACAAGUCUGGAAUAAUCCGUUGCCCCGAUGGAAUCUCCAUCCCUGAGCUGAGGGAGGCAUGUGACUAUCUGUGCAUCACCUUUGACUACAGCACCAUCAAGUGCAGAGACCUCAGUGCCCUCAUGCAUGAGCUAUCUAACGAUGGUGCCCGGCAUCAGUUUGAGUUCUAUCUGGAGGAAAUGGUUGUGCCUCUGAUGGUGUCCAGCGCCCAGAGUGGAGAGAGAGAAUGCCACAUCGUGGUGCUCACUGAUGAUGACGUAGUGGACUGGGACGAAGAGUACCCACCACAGAUGGGAGAAGAGUACUCACAGAUAAUAUACAGCACAAAACUAUACCGGUUCUUCAAGUAUAUAGAAAAUCGAGAUGUUGCCAAAUCAGUUUUAAAGGAGAGAGGACUGAAGAAAAUAAGAUUAGGCAUUGAAGGUUACCCCACGUAUAAAGAGAAGGUGAAGAAGCGUCCUGGUGGCCGUCCUGAGGUCAUCUACAACUACGUCCAGAGGCCCUUCAUCCGCAUGUCCUGGGAGAAGGAGGAGGGCAAGAGCCGCCAUGUUGACUUCCAGUGUGUCAAAAGCAAGUCCAUCACUAACCUGGCUGCAGCUGCUGCAGAUAUCCCCCAGGACCAGCUGGUCAACAUGCACCCUGGCCCUCAGGUGGACGAGUUGGACGUCCUCCCUAACCAGUCCCCCAGUGGACCCCAGUACAGCUACAACAACGAUGCUGGUGACCCAGACGCCCCCUCUCCCGCAGUCUGAGGACUGCCCCCUCCCUGACACUUCCCUUCCCAGCGUACUGCAGCAUGGAGCGAGAGGGGGAUCAAUAUAGAGGGGGAUCAUAACCAUAUUGCCUUGGCACCUCCUCCACAGCCUUAGAGCCUCAAGGAUCUGGUCGACUGUAAAAACCCUAUAAGGGACAAGACUGGCAAAAGGGCAUAUUUCUUUUUCUUAAAAAAAAUACUUGACCAAAGGAAUUUAUUUUUCUGUUAAUUGUUUGAAAUAAAUUUAGCAAACCCAAUUAUUUUGUAGCUAUUAUUAUUAUUUACAGUGGUUAUCAGGCUGUGCACUGUGUGGUGUUACUGUGCUCUCCCCCUGAGUUUUAUUUCACGUGUGGUUCUGGGCAUACUUCCUGGAUGGCAAGACUAGUGAAUACUGUAUCUGUUUGGGGGAUAGGUGCAGAUCAUGAUGCCUGGCCAUGGAGAAAAUCCUCUGAUUUCAUCACCAUUCAGUGGAAAUUACUGUUGAAUUCCCCUCAGAUAUACUUUGAAUCAUGUAAUGGUUGGGUUGGUUGACAUCAUAGGAUUGGUAAUGGGAUUCUGUGCUCCCUGGAUAUUCAGCAUGACAUAAAGACAUUAAAAUCA